AGAGUUUGAUCCUGGCUCAGAAUCAACGCUGGCGGCGUGCCUAACACAUGCAAGUCGAACGCGAAAGUCCCGCAAGGGAUGAGUAGAGUGGCAAACGGGUGAGUAACGCGUGGGUGACCUGCCUUCGAGUGGGGGAUAACGUUUCGAAAGGAACGCUAAUACCGCAUAACAUGCUGUCCUUUAAGGGGUGGACAUCAAAGCCUGGGACCGUAAGGCCAGGCGCUUGAAGAGGGGCCCGCGUCUGAUUAGCUAGUUGGUGGGGUAAUGGCUCACCAAGGCAACGAUCAGUAUCCGGCCUGAGAGGGCGGACGGACACACUGGGACUGAGACACGGCCCAGACUCCUACGGGAGGCAGCAGUGGGGAAUUGUUCGCAAUGGGCGAAAGCCUGACGACGCAACGCCGCGUGGAGGAUGAAGAUUUUCGGAUCGUAAACUCCUUUCGAUCGAGACGAAUAGCUCCUGGGUUAAUAGCCUGAGAGAUUGACGGUACCGAGAGAAGAAGCCCCGGCUAACUCCGUGCCAGCAGCCGCGGUAAU
rnacentral:rRNA from 1 species